UCAGAAGGCCGGCUCCAGAGGCACGUUAUCCUCCAUUUGGGACAUUUGUGCCAUCGCCAAAAUAACAGCCUAUUUCAUCAUCUACCUGAGGGAAAAGGAAGGAAAAAGGAUUUGGAUGGGGAUAGGGACAGGUAGGGAAAUAGGAAAAAUAUCCUGGAAGAGGGUACUAACGCACAAGCGUACCACAAUGGGUUCAAACAGCGCCCUGAAAAGGGCACUGUAAUAACGCAUAAAGCGAAAGAGAGCCUAUAACUUUUUACCACAGCGGGUUAAGAACAACAGAAUAUCCUGAAGAAAUUGCCAGAAGUGCUAAGUGCAGAGAGUCAUGCCACCAUACCAUCAGCGACAUCUGUUUAAACAAUAUAAUCACGCCCCUUUUCAAAAAUGCUUUGAAAUAUACUUCAACAUCUAUACCCAUUUCAAUAUUUUUAUCGUUGCAAAACACGCUUUCACCAUUCAUCUUGAAGAAGAGGGAAAACACUUGUCCUCAAAUGUAACAGCAAAUUAAUGAAUAAACGAUCAAUGCGCGGAGGGCGUGAUAAAAUCGGAACAUUACUGUACAUAUAAUAUACAUAAUACAUAAUAAAAACAGCUUGUUCUACUCACGCAAGGCCAUUAACAAUAAAAUCAGCAUCAAACUGCGAUUUCCGGCCGAAAUAAUUUACACUAAAAAAAAAUUAUUACUAAAUGUGAAAAUUGUGAAAUGUUUGAAUUGUCAAAACUUUUUUGUUUAUUAGUUUAUUAUCACCAAAUUUUUAUGGUAGAUUGCUAAUCUGCCGUAAUUCUGCAAAGUGACGUAAGCGACAUUAAUAGUUUUGGCCCAUUUUUUGGUUAUUAUGCAUAAAACUCUUGCUCAUCCUUUAAGUUUCUUUCCAAAUAUGAUAGAUUACGAUUAGAUCUUGCAUUCUAAUACAGCAGGAAUACCACAGUGUUAUUCUCACCCCAGAUAUUAUAAAUAAUAUACCAAAAAAUAUCGAAAUUUUGAAUGGCGCUUACGUCACUUUUCAGAAUUACUGCAGUAGUACAAUGGACCGGUUUCCUUAAAAAAUUACGUUGGUAAAAAGAUAGGGUUUUGAGAUAUUUGAGUUUUUGUGACAAAAAUGAUAUUUUUUAAUGUUAAAAAAAUAUUUUUUUUCACAGUGUACAUUUUCUUAGAAAUCACCAUUUAGUUAUCUAACUUUGCUGAACAAUAAAAUCAGCAUCAAACUGCGAUUUCUGACCGAAAUAAUUUACACAGAAAAAAAUAUUUACCAAAUGUGAAAAUAGUGAAAUGUUUGAAAUGUUAUAACUUUUUUGUUUAUUAGUUUACCAUCACCAAAUUUUUAUGGUAGAUUGCUAAUACAAUGGACCGUCUUUCCCAAAAAAAAUACGAUGGUAAAAAGAUAGGGUUUUGAGAUAUUUGAGUUUUUGUGACAAAAAUGAUAUUUUUUAAUAUUAAAAAAGAUGUUUUUUCACAGUGUAUAUUUUCUUAGGAAAUACCAUUUAGUUAUCUAACUUUGCUGAAAAAUUCAUAGCAAUCGAACGAACCAUUUUGGCUGUACAGAUUUUUGAAUAUUUUUGAACCAUUUUCACAUACACCCUUUUAAAAAGUUAGUCGUGAUUCAAAAUAAAAAUUUGAUAUCGAAAAAUGGCGAUUGAAAUGGAACUGAAAAACUGUGCAAAGUUUCAGUUCAAUAGAAAAUCAUGAAUUAAAAAAUUUCCUCAAUUUUGAUGCUGUUGCUUGGAAUCGCUCAAA